rnacentral:tRNA from 1 species
GGCGGCGUAGCCAAGCGGCCAAGGCGACGGUUUGCAAAACCGUUAUUCGUGGGUUCGAAUCCCACCGCCGCCU